GACGAACGCUGGCGGCGUGCUUAACACAUGCAAGUCGAACGGAAAGGCCCUGCUUGCAGGGUGCUCGAGUGGCGAACGGGUGAGUAACACGUGGGUGAUCUGCCCCUUAUUUUGGGAUAAGCCUGGGAAACUGGGUCUAAUACUGGAUAGGACCAUGCUGUAGGUGGUGUGGUGGAAAGAUUAGUUUCGGUAAGGGAUGAGCUCGCGGCCUAUCAGCUUGUUGGUGGGGUAAUGGCCUACCAAGGCGUCGACGGGUAGCCGGCCUGAGAGGGUGGACGGCCACAUUGGGACUGAGAUACGGCCCAGACUCCUACGGGAGGCAGCAGUGGGGAAUAUUGCACAAUGGGCGCAAGCCUGAUGCAGCGACGCCGCGUGGGGGAUGACGGCCUUCGGGUUGUAAACUCCUUUCAGCCAUGACGAAGCCCUUGUGGUGACGGGAGUGGUAGAAGAAGCACCGGCUAACUACGU
rnacentral:rRNA from 1 species